rnacentral:misc_RNA from 1 species
UACGGAGGGUGCAAGGGUUAAUCGGAAUUACUGGGCGUCAGGCGAGCGUAGGUGGCUGGAUAAUCCGGUUGUGAAAGCCCCGAGCUUAACUUGGGAACGGCAUCCGGAACUGUCAAGCUAGAGUACAGGAGAGGAAGGUAGAAUUCCCGGUGUAGCGGUGAAAUGCGUAGAGAUCGGGAGGAAUACCAGUGGCGAAGGCGGCCUUCUGGACUGAUACUGACACUGAGGUGCGAAAGCGUGGGUAGCAAACAGG